GACGAACGCUGGCGGCGUGCCUAAUACAUGCAAGUCGAACGCUUCUUUCCUCCCGAGUGCUUGCACUCAAUUGGAAAGAGGAGUGGCGGACGGGUGAGUAACACGUGGGUAACCUGCCUAUCAGAGGGGGAUAACACUUGGAAACAGGUGCUAAUACCGCAUAACAAUAUCAAUCGCAUGAUAGAUAUUUGAAAGGCGCUUAUGGUGUCACUGAUAGAUGGACCCGCGGUGCAUUAGCUAGUCGGUGGGGUAACGGCCUACCGAGGCGAUGAUGCAUAGCCGACCUGAGAGGGUGAUCGGCCACAUUGGGACUGAGACACGGCCCAAACUCCUACGGGAGGCAGCAGUAGGGAAUCUUCGGCAAUGGACGCAAGUCUGACCGAGCAACGCCGCGUGAGUGAAGAAGGUUUUCGGAUCGUAAAGCUCUGUUGUUAGAGAAGAACAAGUAAGAUAGUAACUGAUCUUGCCUUGACGGUAUCUAACCAGAAAGCCACGGCUAACUACGUGCCAGCCGCCGCCGUAAAAC
rnacentral:rRNA from 1 species